rnacentral:rRNA from 1 species
ACGCACGCUGGCGGCGUGCUUCACCCCUGCCAGUCGCACGCUGAAGCUCAGCUUUUGUUGGGUGGAUGAGUGGCGAACGGGUGAGUAACACGUGAGUAACCUGCCUCCUUCUUUGGGAUAACGCCCGGAAACGGGUGCUAAUACUGGAUAUUCACUGGUCUUCGCAUGGGGGUUGGUGGAAAGGGUUUUUCUGGUGGGGGAUGGGCUCGCGGCCUAUCAGCUUGUUGGUGGGGUGAUGGCCUACCAAGGCUUUGACGGGUAGCCGGCCUGAGAGGGUGACCGGUCACAUUGGGACUGAGAUACGGCCCAGACUCCUACGGGAGGCAGCAGUGGGGAAUAUUGCACAAUGGGCGCAAGCCUGAUGCAGCGACGCCGCGUGAGGGAUGGAGGCCUUCGGGUUGUGAACCUCUUUCGCUCAUGAUCAAGCCGCAACAAUGGUUGUGGUGAGGGUAGUGGGUAAAGAAGCGCCGGCUAACUACGUG